CCCGAAUUGGUGUAAUGGCUAACAUUCGGCGCGUUUCUCAAAACGGAUGUGAAUCAUCGUCGAGCUCGGGGUUCGACUCCCUGAUUCGGGA